UGAAGAAAAUCUCUUUUCAGCCAAUUGGUCUACAACUUGACCUCACGAUUCCUGGCAAUGUUGCAAAACUCGUAAAUGAAACUAUCAAGGCCUAUGGACACAUUGACAUUUUAGUUAAUAAUGCUGGAAUCGGUAGCUUUGCGCCCAUCCAAGAUCCGAAAUUCAAAGAGGUUUACUUAGAGUCACGAGCCAUUAAUGAAGAGGCGCAGAUCGACUUAACUCGUUUGGUAGCCCCAUAUAUCGUAAAUAGGAACGGUACGAUUAUUCUUAUGGCCAGCUUAUUUGCACGGAGUCCGGUUACAUCAAGUGCUGCGUAUAGUAUGGGCAAAAAUGCUCUAAUUGCAUUUGCAAUGACAUUGACUCAUGACCUGGGUAGCAACUGUCGAGUGAAUGUGAUAAGUCCCACAGUCAUAGAUGGCACUCGUAUCUUUCGGUUGCUCGACCCAUCCGUCCGUCCAACAUUAAUUGCGAGCCAGAUUGCAGCGUCAACAUUAAAGAGAGCCGGUGUUCCAAUGGACAUUGCUAAGUCAGUAAUAUAUUUAUCGUCACCUUUGGCCAGUUUCAUCAAUGGAAAAGAACUCCAGCUUGACGGUGGCUUAUCUAUUUCAAUUUUGUAAAAAUUUAGACUAACACUUCUAUGUGACUACAGUUUAUUAUUAGAAAUAAAAGGUGCUAGCCGUAGGUAGACAUUAA